rnacentral:rRNA from 1 species
GCAAGUCGUGCGAGAAAGAUCUUCGGAUAUGAGUAGAGCGGCGGACGGGUGAGUAACGCGUAGGAAUCUACCUAGUAGAAGGGGAUAGCCCGGGGAAACCCGGAUUAAUACCGUAUACCUCCUUCGGGAGAAAGAAGGCCUCUCUUUGAAGCUUUCGCUAUUAGAUGAGCCUGCGUAAGAUUAGCUUGUUGGUGAGGUAAAGGCUCACCAAGGCGACGAUCUUUAGCUGGUCUGAGAGGACGAUCAGCCACAUUGGGACUGAGACACGGCCCAGACUCCUACGGGAGGCAGCAGUGGGGAAUAUUGGACAAUGGGCGCAAGCCUGAUCCAGCCAUACCGCGUGUGUGAAGAAGGCCUUCGGGUUGUAAAGCACUUUAAGCAGGGAGAAAAAGUUAUAAGUUAAUACCUUAUAACCGUGAUGUUACCUGCAGAAUAAGCACCGGCUAAUUCCGUGCCAGCAGCCGCGGUAAUACGGAAGGUGCAAGCGUUAAUCGGAAUUACUGGGCGUAAAGCGCGCGUAGGUGGUUUGUUAAGUUGGAUGUGAAAGCCCUGGGCUCAACCUAGGAACUGCAUCCAAAACUAACUCACUAGAGUACGAUAGAGGGAGGUAGAAUUCAUAGUGUAGCGGUGGAAUGCGUAGAUAUUAUGAAGAAUACCAGUGGCGAAGGCGGCCUCCUGGAUCUGUACUGACACUGAGGUGCGAAAGCGUGGGUAGCGAACAGGAUUAGAUACCCUGGUAGUCCACGCCGUAAACGAUGACAACUAGCUGUUGGAAGACAACGUCUUUCAGUGGCGCAGCUAACGUUUUAAGUUGUCCGCCUGGGGAGUACGGCCCGCAGGCUAAAACUCAAAUGAAUUGACGGGGACCCGCACAAGCGGUGGAGCAUGUGGUUUAAUUCGAUG